UCCUCAGUUAAGUAAACGGUGGGAAAUAGGC
rnacentral:piRNA from 1 species